CUAUACAUGCAAGUCGAGCGGACAGAAGGGAGCUUGCUCCCGGAUGUUAGCGGCGGACGGGUGAGUAACACGUGGGUAACCUGCCUGUAAGACUGGGAUAACUCCGGGAAACCGGAGCUAAUACCGGAUAGUUCCUUGAACCGCAUGGUUCAAGGAUGAAAGACGGUUUCGGCUGUCACUUACAGAUGGACCCGCGGCGCAUUAGCUAGUUGGUGAGGUAACGGCUCACCAAGGCGACGAUGCGUAGCCGACCUGAGAGGGUGAUCGGCCACACUGGGACUGAGACACGGCCCAGACUCCUACGGGAGGCAGCAGUAGGGAAUCUUCCGCAAUGGACGAAAGUCUGACGGAGCAACGCCGCGUGAGUGAUGAAGGUUUUCGGAUCGUAAAGCUCUGUUGUUAGGGAAGAACAAGUGCAAGAGUAACUGCUUGCACCUUGACGGUACCUAACCAGAAAGCCACGGCUAACUACGUGCCAGCAGCCGCGGUAAUACGUAGGUGGCAAGCGUUGUCCGGAAUUAUUGGGCGUAAAGGGCUCGCAGGCGGUUUCUUAAGUCUGAUGUGAAAGCCCCCGGCUCAACCGGGGAGGGUCAUUGGAAACUGGGAAACUUGAGUGCAGAAGAGGAGAGUGGAAUUCCACGUGUAGCGGUGAAAUGCGUAGAGAUGUGGAGGAACACCAGUGGCGAAGGCGACUCUCUGGUCUGUAACUGACGCUGAGGAGCGAAAGCGUGGGGAGCGAACAGGAUUAGA
rnacentral:rRNA from 1 species